rnacentral:rRNA from 1 species
AUUGAACGCUGGCGGCAUGCCUUACACAUGCAAGUCGAACGGCAGCACGGGGCAACCUGGUGGCGAGUGGCGAACGGGUGAGUAAUGCAUCGGAACGUACCUUUCAGUGGGGGAUAACGUAGCGAAAGUUACGCUAAUACCGCAUAUUCUGUGAGCAGGAAAGCAGGGGAUCGCAAAACCUUGUGCUGAUUGAGCGGCCGACGUCAGAUUAGCUAGUUGGUGAGGUAAAGGCUCACCAAGGCGACGAUCUGUAGCGGGUCUGAGAGGAUGAUCCGCCACACUGGAACUGAGACACGGUCCAGACUCCUACGGGAGGCAGCAGUGGGGAAUUUUGGACAAUGGGGGCAACCCUGAUCCAGCCAUGCCGCGUGAGUGAAGAAGGCCUUCGGGUUGUAAAGCUCUUUCGGCCGGGAAGAAAUCGCACGGGCUAAUACCCUGUGUGGAUGACGGUACCGGAAUAAGAAGCACCGGCUAACUACGUGCCAGCAGCCGCGGUAACAC